GAUGAACGCUAGCUACAGGCUUAACACAUGCAAGUCGAGGGGCAGCAUGAACUUAGCUUGCUAAGUUUGAUGGCGACCGGCGCACGGGUGAGUAACACGUAUCCAACCUGCCGAUGACUCGGGGAUAGCCUUUCGAAAGAAAGAUUAAUACCCGAUGGCAUAGUUCUUCCGCAUGGUAGGACUAUUAAAGAAUUUCGGUCAUCGAUGGGGAUGCGUUCCAUUAGCUUGUUGGCGGGGUAACGGCCCACCAAGGCAUCGAUGGAUAGGGGUUCUGAGAGGAAGGUCCCCCACACUGGUACUGAGACACGGACCAG
rnacentral:rRNA from 1 species